rfam:Ricinus communis cultivar Hale ctg_1100012359612, whole genome shotgun sequence.
GUAUCUAUGGUGUGGGUAUUGCAAUAAAAUUGAUUUGAAGCGAUCCCAUGCUUUAUAAAAAGAUUCAGUAUCCUUCUAAUAAAAAUUAGAAAUUUCAGCUCUUAAUUC